UACGAAGGGGGCUAGCGUUGCUCGGAAUCACUGGGCGUAAAGCGCACGUAGGCGGAUUGCUAAGUCGGGGGUGAAAUCCUGGAGCUUAACUCCAGAACUGCCUUCGAUACUGGGAAUCUUGAGUCCGGAAGAGGUGAGUGGAACUGCGAGUGUAGAGGUGAAAUUCGUAGAUAUUCGCAAGAACACCAGUGGCGAAGGCGGCUCACUGGCCCGGUACUGACGCUGAGGUGCGAAAGCGUGGGGAGCAAACAGG
rnacentral:rRNA from 1 species